rnacentral:rRNA from 1 species
GAUGAACGCUGGCGGCGUGCCUAAUACAUGCAAGUCGAGCGAACAGACGAGGAGCUUGCUCCUCUGACGUUAGCGGCGGACGGGUGAGUAACACGUGGAUAACCUACCUAUAAGACUGGGAUAACUUCGGGAAACCGGAGCUAAUACCGGAUAAUAUAUUGAACCGCAUGGUUCAAUAGUGAAAGACGGUUUCGCUGUCACUUAUAGAUGGAUCCGCGCCGCAUUAGCUAGUUGGUAAGGUAACGGCUUACCAAGGCAACGAGGCGUAGCCGACCUGAGAGGGUGAUCGGCCACCAUGGAACUGAGACACGGUCCAGACUCCUACGGGAGGCAGCAGUAGGGAAUCUUCCGCAAUGGGCGAAAGCCUGACGGAGCAACGCCGCGUGAGUGAUGAAGGUCUUCGGAUCGUAAAACUCUGUUAUUAGGGAAGAACAAAUGUGUAAGUAACUAUGCACGUCUUGACGGUACCUAAUCAGAAAGCCACGGCUAACUACGUGCCAGCCGCCGCCGCAG